rnacentral:rRNA from 1 species
GAUGAACGCUGGCGGCGUGCUUAACACAUGCAAGUCGAACGGAAAGGCUCCUGCUUGCAGGGGUACUCGAGUGGCGAACGGGUGAGUAACACGUGGGUGAUCUGCCCUGCACUUCGGGAUAAGCCUGGGAAACUGGGUCUAAUACCGGAUAGGACCACAUUUUGGAUGGUGGGGUGGAAAGUUUUUCGGUGUGGGAUGAGCUCGCGGCCUAUCAGCUUGUUGGUGGGGUAGUGGCCUACCAAGGCGUCGACGGGUAGCCGGCCUGAGAGGGUGUACGGCCACAUUGGGACUGAGAUACGGCCCAGACUCCUACGGGAGGCAGCAGUGGGGAAUAUUGCACAAUGGGCGGAAGCCUGAUGCAGCAACGCCGCGUGGGGGAUGACGGCCUUCGGGUUGUAAACUCCUUUCGCUAGUGACGAAGCGCGAGUGACGGUACCUGGUAAAGAAGCACCGGCUAACUACGUG